rnacentral:rRNA from 1 species
UACGGAGGGUGCAAGCGUUAAUCGGAAUUACUGGGCGUAAAGCGCACGCAGGUGGCUGAGUCAGUCGAUUGUGAAAGCCCUGGGCUUAACCUGGGAAUUGCAGUCGAUACUACUCAGCUAGAGUAUGGGAGAGGGUAGUGGGAAUUUCCGGUGUAGCGGUGAAAUGCGUAGAUAUCGGAAGGAACAUCAGUGGCGAAAGCGGCUUCCUGGACC